GAUGAACGCUGGCGGCGUGCCUAAUACAUGCAAGUCGAGCGAACGGACGAGAAGCUUGCUUCUCUGAUGUUAGCGGCGGACGGGGGAGUAACACGUGGAUAACCUACCUAUAAGACUGGGAUAACUGCGGGAAACCGGAGCUAAUACCGGAUGAUAUUUUGAACCGCAUGGUUCAAAAGUGAAAGACGGUCUUGCUGGCACUUAUAGAUGGAUCCGCGCUGCAUUAGCUAGUUGGUAAGGUAACGGCUUACCAAGGCAACGAUGCAUAGCCGACCUGAGAGGGUGAUCGGACACACUGGAACUGAGACACGGUCCAGACUCCUACGGGAGGCAGCAGUAGGGAAUCUUCCGCAAUGGGCGAAAGCCUGACGGAGCAACGCCGCGUGAGUGAUGAAGGUCUUCGGAUCGUAAAACUCUGUUAUUAGGGAAGAACAUAUGUGUAAGUAACUGUGCACAUCUUGACGGUACCUAAUCAGAAAGCCACGGCUAACUACGUG
rnacentral:rRNA from 1 species